AAAACAAGUCACUGAUAUACACAUUUGAAUAUUCAAAGUUCAUUUACUUUCUAAGUUUGAGGAUGAAAGAUGCUGCAUCACCAUACUGAAUAUAGUCAGUUGUACCAUUGUGUCGGGUUUCCUUCAAAGUUGUGAAUCUUUCUUCUAUUUCUCUAUACUUCUUUGCCUUUCUCCUCAUUUUUGUACAUAAAAAAGGCCGUUAGUUUUCUUGUUUGAAUUGUUUUACAUUGUCAUUUCGGGGCAUUUUAUAGCUGACCAUACGGUAAGGGCUUUGCUCAUUGUUGAAGGCUGUACGGUGACCUAUAAGUGUUAAUAUAUGUGUCAGUUUGGUUUCUUGUGGAGAGUUGUCUCAUUGGCAAUUAUACCACAUCUUCUUUUUUUAUAUUUUUACAUGUAUUAUCUUUUAUAUUAUAAUAAACACAAUUUAAAAAAA
rnacentral:lncRNA from 1 species